UGGGGAAUAUUGCGCAAUGGGGGGAACCCUGACGCAGCCAUGCCGCGUGAAUGAAGAAGGCCUUCGGGUUGUAAAGUUCUUUCGGUAUUGAGGAAGGUUGAUGUGUUAAUAGCACGUCAAAUUGACGUUAAAUACAGAAGAAGCACCGGCUAACUCCGUGCCAGCAGCCGCGGUAAUACGGAGGGUGCGAGCGUUAAUCGGAAUAACUGGGCGUAAAGGGCACGCAGGCGGUUAUUUAAGUGAGGUGUGAAAGCCCCGGGCUUAACCUGGGAAUUGCAUUUCAGACUGGGUAACUAGAGUACUUUAGGGAGGGGUAGAAUUCCACGUGUAGCGGUGAAAUGCGUAGAGAUGUGGAGGAAUACCGAAGGCGAAGGCAGCCCCUUGGGAAUGUACUGACGCUCAUGUGCGAAAGCGUGGGGAGCAAACAGGAUUAGAUACCCUGGUAGUCCACGCUGUAAACGCUGUCGAUUUGGGGGUUGGGGUUUAACUCUGGCGCCCGUAGCUAACGUGAUAAAUCGACCGCCUGGGGAGUACGGCCGCAAGGUUA
rnacentral:rRNA from 1 species